rnacentral:tRNA from 1 species
GACAGGAAGUGAGAAAUUCACACAUGGUUUCGGCCCAUUAAUUGGUGGUGAAAGUCCCCCCCUGUUA